GUCCACGCCCUAAACGAUGAUCACUAGGUGUUGGGGAAGCGAUUCCCUAGUACCGCAGCUAACGCGUGAAGUGAUCCGCCUGGGGGAGUACGGUCGCAAGAUUAAAACUCAAAGGAAUUGACGGGGACCCGCACAAGCGGUGGAUGAUGUGGAUUAAUUCGAUGCAACGCGAAAACCUUACCUACCCUUGACAUGUACGGAAGCCCGGUGAGAGCCGGGUGUGCCCGAAAGGGAGCCGUAACACAGGUGCUGCAUGGCUGUCGU
rnacentral:rRNA from 1 species